UCAGCAUGUGCUGUGUAUAUCAUCUGACGGAAGGACACUCUUGGAGUCAUCAAAAAUUGCUCUUGACAAAGGAAAACUAGAUGAUGCUGUGAAUUAUGGAACAAAGGCAUUGGUCAAGAUGAUUGCUGUCUGUGGGCCUUAUCAUAGAAAUACUGCUUGUGCGUACAGCCUUCUCGCAGUUGUACUGUACCACACUGGCGAUUUUAACCAGGCAACGAUAUAUCAGCAGAAGGCUCUAGAUAUAAAUGAGAGAGAACUUGGUCUCGACCAUCCUGACACUAUGAAAAGCUAUGGGGAUCUUUCUGUAUUUUAUUAUCGUCUUCA